AUGACGGGCCUUGAGAUCUUGCUCCAAAUCCUUCACUUGCUGAUGAGGAAGCUGAGGCCAAGGGAGGGGAACUGGUGUGCUCAGGGUCAUAGAACAACUGGUGGCGAUGCUGAGACAAAGUCCCAGGACUCCCACCCGGAGCUUUUCUCCUGUUCUUCAUGUCCCCGAGAGAGCAGGAGACCCGUGCCCUCUACUGGAGGCUGGCAGAGGACGUGCAGUUUGAGCGCUUUGGAGCAUGACCUACUUUCUGGGCUUUUCCAGACUUCCCUGAGGAGGCCAAGGCCACCUGGCAUGUCCUGUUCAGGCCUCACUUUGGUGACAUGGGUGGGAACCCGAUCUGCUCAGCAAACCAUCUGUUACCUGAGCUCCCGGGCAAGAUGUCCCACAGAACCCUUUGUCCAGUGCCGCAGCCCCACCACUCUGCUCAGCAGUGCUCCCUGCCACCAUCUGCAGCCCGCAAAGCUGGGCCUGGGCUCCCUCACGGUAUGCCCAGCAUCUAGCACAGUGCCAGGUGGGCAAGAUGCACUGUCAUACACGUGGACCAGACUGUGAACCUGAGCUGUUUUUAAAGGGACCUAGAGGGGCCAGGUGCGGAGAGCGUGCAAUGACAUUUGAACACCGUGGAGACUGAGUCCCUUACCCACCAUGGCUCCGAGCACCAAUCAUGCCUGUGUGCCAGCACCAGCGCUGAGGGGGAGGCAGAUACACCCGACUCCCAGUUCUCCAUGGUGACGAGGGCCUUGACGGUUGGCAACAGCAGAUGAUCUCCAACACGCUUCACACGCUUUGAGUCACUGGCUUCCGCCGCCCCCCACCAUCACUUUGCUGGUGUGGCUGACAAACUGCCACAGGGAUUCACAUCUCUCUUCUCUCUUCACCCAGCGGAGCUGCUCUGAAAUGGCCAAGGCUGGGCCGGUGGAGGAGGAGCAGAGGGCGAACGUAGCCCCCUCCCCGCGGAGCUGGGUCCUAUACCCCUGGGGUAGUCUGACUUGGCUUUCUGCAAGCCCCUUUAGGGGGUGGAAGAGGGGAAGGUGUGGCCUCCCCUGGCAGGACCCCCAGACCCCAGGGGCACAAGUUGCCUCCCGGUGCCCACAGGGCCUCCCCUCAUGACACAGACUCCAUGCAAACCAGCAGCGGGCCUGCCCCACCCCCUCUCCUCAGCCACGCCUUAACCAAACUUGAUGGUGCUCAUUGAGGUCAGAGCUUCUGCACUGAACUGGGCAACAGAGGCCCCCUCACUUCCCCAUGCUCCCCUCCCCUCCCCCUGCUAAACUCCUUCCCAGAAGAGGGAUGGAAAGCAGGAGAGAGAGAAGCGAAUGUAUGUUGAGGACCUACUACCUGCUGUCCACUGCCUUGAGGAGACCACAGCUUUCCAGGUAGAGCUGAGCCAGGCUUCCAUAGCAGGACUGGCUGCUUGCUUGUCUCUGGAGGUCUCUUCUGGGAAAUGGCUGCCUUGGCGCCAACAAUGCACACCUCAGUCUCCCGCAGUCCAAACCCUGGGGGGUCAGGUCUCUGCAGAUCUCUCAUGAAUGUGUCCUCUACAAUGGAAGUUCCAUCAGCCAAGAUUGGGGUUCUGAGUGCCCUUGGCCCCCUAAACAUUCUUUGCUGGGCAUGGAGGAGCUGGCAGUGUUGGGAGCCUUGGUCAGGAAAUGCAGAAGGGCCCCACUGACAGGGUCAGAGUGCAGGUUUGGAAGCCUCCGGUCUCGGGGUUGCCGGGCAGGGGCUCAUCCCAUCUCCCUUCCUUCCCGUCUUGCCUCCUGACCGGUUCAGAAGUGUCUCUACUGGAAGUGGAUGCCAGAAGGAGGUCCAAAGCCACUGGAGGAUGAGCCCUCAAGGGCUCCCCAGGAGUAUCCCUGACGGCCACAGGGGAAGUUGUGUGACUUCAUGUAAAUCUGCUCCGGAUGCAACUUCAGAAGCAAGCAGAGGAGGCAAGCUUUCCUUGUGGGACAUCCCCCAGGUACAAUAAUGGCAUAGUGUUGGCACAUAGUCUUUCUGGGAUGGAUGGCCUUGUUGCACUCCCAUCCUGGAACUCAACUUUCACACUUGGCCAACAUGAGGGGCCCAGGCCUUCGGAGUCUGAGGCUCAGCUGUUGAAUCUCGGGCAAGGCCACGGGCCUCCAUGCGCCCCAGUUUCUCUUCAUAAAAUGGGGGCUCCGGAACAUGCCACCCAGAGCCCUCAGGAUCCCCGUGAAGUGGUGGCAUGAUGCUGGGUGAAUGGCUGCAGGUCUGAUUCUGAGCUGUAUGGUCUGGGUCUGGUACCAGGGCAGCGGAGGAAGUGUUCCUUUCUCCGUAUCCAGUGACAGGCAGCCUGGAAAUUCAGAGUAAAAAUGUCCUCUCUUCCCUUGACCCUCCAGGGUCUCCUGGGCUGGUGAGUGGGAAGAGAGGGUGCCCUGGGUGGAGGGCAGGACCAGGCCUGGAAGGCCCCUAGGCCUCACCUUCACUGAGGUCCCAGCCUCCCCCCCCCGCCCUGGGGCUGCACUGGUGGGCGCUUUCCCGGCCAGAGCACCCCUUGCUGAAUUUGGCCAUGUGCCAGGGGCCUGGCUGUGGCUCUGCGCAAACAGCAGGCUGGGGUGGCUGGGGUCCUCCUGUCCAGCAUGGCAGGCCCCGCGCUCUGGGGCCCAACACUGGCCAUAGGCAUUGUCCUGGAGUGGCCUCACGGUCCAGGAUGAGCAGUAAUUUGCGGGUUUUCUGAGCGUGGGCUAGAGCUGUGCUUGUUAUAAAGUGCUGGAGUGAGUUAGUCUAGUGCGUGAGCCUCACAGCUGCCCUGUGGCACGCUCGUCGUGGUCUUUGCGGCCCCUCUUUCCAAGGUGAGCCCUGGAAUAGCCCUUACACAGUCCGGAGAAGAAACAAACAAGCAAAACUUCUGUUUUGCUUCCCUGUAUCUAAUGGCAGAAAUAAAAACACAGGAGAAAUAAAUGUGGGGAUUUGG
rnacentral:lncRNA from 1 species